AGAGUUAGUGUAGCUUUUAUCAAAACUCUUCAUAAAUUGGUCCUAGUUGGUCUUUGUCUUAUCUAAGACAUCACAACUUACCACAUUUAAUGAAUGUUUUAAACCUUCUUAAUACUUUUCACUCAUUGUCACAAUCUUAACUCUAAGACUUGUUUUGGAACGAAGUAUGAUUGACUUCUUGAUUUGACCAUUUCUUCAAUCUUUGAUUCCUCUUCUUGGACAUACAAUUGUACCAAGACUCACUUAGAGGAUCAAUUGAGAUAUGGUUCUUAAUCAUUAAGACCUAUCAUAAAGCAUAAAAGGUACUCUCCCUUCUUCUUAGAAUGGAGAAACUUUUAUCUCUCUGCCUACUUGAUUCUUGUUAUUCGUUCUACUAUUGAUUUAAACCUUUUCAAUCAAUUCAGAAUUACACUUAAUCUUAUAAGUAUAAUCAUAUUUACUAAACCUUUAGUAAAUCAUGACGAAUAUCUCGUUACUCUUAUGGUGGACUUUGAUCAACACACAACUUUGUGUACUCGAUCUCCUAGUCCUUCACUUGACACUUUGUCAAUGAAUUAGUCUAAUUUCCAAAUACGAAAUUUCUCAUUCAUCGUGCAUCCACGUUGCAUGAUUCCAAGUUUCUGUCCAAUUGAAACUUGGGCGAUGAGAAACUCUCCUUAUUUGGUAAAUUCUCGACUUUCCAUAACAUAAUAAGAACCAAAUCCAUUAUUGCUAAUAAUAGAAACAUUUUAACAUCAAUUUUUUCAUACACGCCAUUGUAAGGAUAAAUAAAUAAAAUCAAAAAUCAAAAAUUUAUUUUAUUGCGAAAAUUUUUGUCCUUGCAACUCAUUGAAAAACUUAUGCUAAUACAUCUUUCUUAGCAGUCUAAUUCUAACUCUAAGUAGUAGCUCAAGAAUCUAAUCUUCGAGAAACGCGAUCGAAAUCCAUUCCUUCACGGUUAGAUUCUGCUCACUUCUUCCCUUAAGCUUCCUUUCUUUUCUUCGAUCCUACAAAACAUCAAUUGUAAUCUUAUCACAUUUUGUAUUCAGAAUCUAGAAUGAAGCUUAAAAGAGUUAGUCAAUGGAUUUUACCUAAAUUAGAGCCAUACGUUUUGACUCUCCCAUCUCUUAGAUCUCUUAGGUAAAUAGGGCAACUUUGUCUCCAAUGCCCCUUCUUUUGGCAAUAAAAGCAAAUUGACUCUUUUGGAACAUGACAAGGAACUACUUCAG
rnacentral:lncRNA from 1 species